rnacentral:tRNA from 1 species
UGAGGUGUGGCUCAGUGGUACAGCACUUGUCUAGCACAUGUGAGGCCCUGAGUUUGAUCCCUACCACCUCAA